AAUACACUUGAGAAGCUUCUGCCUAAAACACGGAAGAUGGGAGUUUUAUAUCCAUCAUGUCCUGUCCUUGCCUGGUUAAAUGUGGGUGAGGUUGUACACGUGUGCCAGCUCAGCUGAACAGGCUGGGCAGAAGCUCAGAAGCCCUAAGAAAGCAAGCAAGAUCAAGGUGAGGAUCUCUGAGGCUAUCGCUUAUCCCCACGUGCCACAGAAAUAGUCAGAGAACAAAGAAUCCUGAAAUUGAAAUUGUUCACUCAAGCUUGACACUCAAGUCAUCAAAAUUAGAAAGUUAUCUGGCCCUAAUAAGAAAGAGUUCAGGUGAAAGACUCAUGGACAUGGAAAUAAAUGAUUAAAUGCAGUGUGAAAACAGAGGAGGGUACGCAGAGAGAUCUGCAGGGACAGACAUGAGAG
rnacentral:lncRNA from 1 species